AUGUCAUUAUUGUUACGCCGACCACCAGGCCGUGAGGCAUUCCAAGGGGAUGUUUUCUAUUUACAUUCCCGUCUCUUCGAAAGAGCCGCUAAACGAUCAGACCAGACAGGUGCAGGUAGCUCGACUGCGUUACCCGUGAUUGAAACACAAGCUGGAGACGUAUCGGCCUAUAUCCCCGCCAAUGUGAUCUCCAUUACAGAUGGACAAAUCUGUUUGGAAACAGAGCUCUUUUAUCGUGGAAUUAGACCAGCUAUUAACAUUGGCUUAUCUAUCAGUCGCGUCUGGUCUGCCGCUCAGUUGAAAGCUAUGAAACAAGUCUGCGGUAGUUCAAAACUGGAAUUGGCACAAUAUCGCGAAGUGGCCGCCUUCACUCAAUUUGGGUCAGACCUUGAUGCUGCGACUCAGGCAAUACUCAGUAGAGGUCCAAGGCUUACAGAAGUGCCCAAACAACCACAAUAUGAACCACUUCCAAUUGAAAAACAAAUUGUUGUGAUCUAUGCUGCUGUCAACAGCUUCUGUGAUCGAAUGCCACUAGACCGAAUUUCUCAAUAUGAAAAAGCCAUUCUAAGUACUAAUCCAGAAUUACAAAAAUCCUUCUUAGAAAAAGGUGGCUUAACUAACGAAAGAAAGGUGGUAUGUAUGUUUUUUCACAUAUAA
rnacentral:rRNA from 1 species